rnacentral:rRNA from 11 species
AUUCAUAGCCAUUCGAAUCUGAACACGCCCAAUCUCUACUCUGAAUUUAGAAGCUAAGCAGGUUCGGGUUUGGUUAAGUACUUGGGUAAUAGAUCACAAAGGAAUAGGAGGGAUCGUCACAC